GAUGAACGCUGGCGGCGUGCCUAACACAUGCAAGUCGAGCGAUCUCUUCGGAGAGAGCGGCGGACGGGUGAGUAACGCGUGGGUAACCUGCCCUGUACACACGGAUAACAUACCGAAAGGUAUACUAAUACGGGAUAAUAUAUGAAAGUCGCAUGGCUUUUGUAUCAAAGCUCCGGCGGUACAGGAUGGACCCGCGUCUGAUUAGCUAGUUGGUAAGGUAAUGGCUUACCAAGGCUUUGACGGGUAGCCGGCCUGAGAGGGUGACCGGCCACAUUGGGACUGAGAUACGGCCCAG
rnacentral:rRNA from 1 species